rnacentral:rRNA from 1 species
CUGGCUCAGAACGAACGCUGGCGGCAGGCUUAACACAUGCAAGUCGAACGGUC